rnacentral:lncRNA from 1 species
AUCCAAGUUCAAAGAUGAAGAUGAUCCACGUUCUUUUCCUCUUUGCUCUUGUCUCGUUCACUUCCCAUGCUUCUGUCAAUGAUUUCUGUGUAGCAGACCUAAAAGGUCCAGAUAGCCCUUCAGGCUAUCAGUGCAAGCCACCUAACACAGUCACAGUGGAUGACUUUGUGUUCUCUGGCUUUGUAGCUGGAAACACCACAAACACUUUCAAUGCUGCAUUAACCUCCGCAUUUGUUACUGAUUUUCCAGGUGUGAAUGGUCUUGGUGUAUCUGUGGCACGGUUAGACAUAGCCAAAGGUGGAUCAAUCCCAAUGCACACACACCCUGCUGCCACUGAACUUCUAAUAAUGGUGGAAGGUCAAAUCACUGCUGGUUUUAUGACCCCAACUGCACUUUAUACCAAGACACUGAAACCUGGAGAUAUUAUGGUUUUUCCACAAGGACAGUUGCAUUUUCAGGUUAAUUCUGGAAACGGAAAAGCCACUGCUUUUCUGGCAUUCAGUAGUGCAAACCCUGGAGCACAACUACUUGACCUUCUGUUAUUUGGCAACACCUUGCCUUCUGACUUGGUUGCACAGACUACCUUCCUUGAUGUUGCACAAGUCAAGAAGGUUAAGGCUCGUUUUGGUGGCAGAGGCUAGGGUUUCUUAUGAAUCAACUCAUACCUAGUGUUUGUUUUAGUGAUAAUCGUCAGCAAUUAAUAAACUUGUGCAUUUGGGUGUGUUUUGCUUUCAUUUUAAGUUUGAUUCCAAACUUAUGAUUUGAGGGUUUGAAGUUUGACGAUGUAUAAAUAAAAAUUUUAGAGUUUAGUUUGAGUGCAUCAUUGAUUUCAAGAAAGUAAUUAAGAAAGAAAUCAAGAUGUUCACUUGAUUUCUUUUAUUAUAAUAAAAAUAAUAAUAUUUCAAACAAGAUAUUAAUAAAAAGUUUAAUACCUUGUUGUGUUUAUCCUUAAUUUUUUUAAUAAAUAUGAGUUACUAAUUAGAAUCAUUAGAUUAAAAGAAAACAAAUGAUAUAAAUGCAGGACUGGUAACUUCUUUAAUCUCUUAGAGCAACUUAAUCUCUUCUUUAAUAACAUAUCUAAAGUAUACAUACUAUGGCAGCGCUCUUGUUAUCAUUUAAAAUUUCCCCACUAUUAAUUAAUAAUGUCGUAUCGUCCACCUUAUUUUACGUUCUAGAUCUAUAUUUGGUUUAAAGAGAGGAGGAGAAGGAAAGAGGGGGAGAAAUUUUGAUUACACAUUUUGUUUUGUUAAGAGAAGAACAAAUGAAAGAUUUUAAUAGGAGGAAAAAUGAUCAUUUUCUUGUUGGGUUCAUAAGUGGAGAAGGGAUUAUAAAAAUUAAUUUACUUGUAUAUUUAUAUAAUUUUACAUUUCAACACAUAAGAGAGGGAUAUUUUAAUUAAUGCACUUCAGAUGUUUUAAAUCUUUUUUCUUUUUUCUCCUAAAAAUUAAACCAAAUAAUAAAAUUUUAUAAAAAUAUAUCCUUACCAUUCAUUUUUCUCCAUUUUCUUUCAACCAAGCAAAAAAAGAGAAAAAAAUAAUAAAUAUAAUAUAUAAUGUGACUAUGAGUUGACCCGGUCAAUGUCAAAACAACUGAAAUUUAGUAAUAUGUUUUAGAAUAUUCUUAUUUUGGUAAUUACUUUCUAAUAGUACCUCUACUUUGGUCAAUCUGCAGCCUUUAAUACAAUUACUUCUUACCUUUAAAUUUUUAGAUUCUCUUCCCGGUAACUAUUAAUGAAUAAAAAUAUUCAAACUACCCUUUUCAUCCUUCUCUUUUUUUACUUCCUAUUUUAAAAGUAAUAAAUAUAAAACGUAUUAAAUAAUAACAUAUUCAAACACACUAAUACCUUGUUUUACUUAUUUUAGGGUGGAUUCAGAAGGAAACAAGGGAGAGAAAAAAAUAAAAAAAGGAUAAUAUAAAUGUGAUAAAUGAUGUAACUGGUGAAUUGAUCCGGUCAAUGGUAAAAAUUAUCAAAAUUUUUAUAUAUAAUAUAUCACAUUUUAGUGAUUAAAUUCUAAAAGUGUCAUGUUUUGGUCAAUGAUUCCUUAAUGGAAUUACUUAAAGGACUUAUAUUAAAAUUUUCAAAUCUUUUGUUUUCGGUUUGUAAGAAUGACUAUAAACAUUUAGACAGUGAUCAUAUUGGAUACGAUGAUAUAUGAUAUCUUGUUUAAUUGUUUAAAAGCGGUAUGUUGUCUUAACAUAUGUUUACUGUUAUUUUUUAUUAUUUAGGUUCCAAAUUAAUAACAAAUUAUUAUUUACUUUUUGUUUUAUUAAUGAUGCGGGAACCUUACUUUACUGAAGAACAGAGUUUUGUUUAGGAGGCAUGGUGAAAAUUUCUAAAUUCUGUCAGUAACCUAAGUUGUAUUAGAAUUUUAUCUUCCAUAAGCUUGGCCUAUUGUUAGAGCUUGUGCUUGUAUAUCAGUUAGUUUGAUAGUAACACUGAUGAUCUCUUAAACAUCUGACAGGAAUUUGAAUGCUUGAAUUUAAAUUGUGUAGGAAGUGGUUUGUUGUCAUUUGAAUGCUUGAAUUACACUGUCUUCUGUAAAGUGUUUUUUCUAAAUAUAUUUUUUUAUCCAUGAUAGUCCAUUUAAUUUUUUUUACUGAAUCUGGAGAACAUGUCAGCCAUGCCAUUUUGAUAUGUUCAAUUGUCCAUUAAUUUCUGUCUGCUUUUUCUUCGAUUAUUGCUAUUUUUUAUUCCCAUGAUGGAGUUCUGGUUAUUCAAUUCAUAUUUCUGGCCUUCGUUUGGAUUUGACUAUUACAUGUUUAGAUAUGCUUAUUUUAGGGGCUCGAUUUAUUUUGGUCAUGAAGCUUUCUACUAAACCAUGUGAUGGCAUGAUGUGCACCUAAUUUCUUAGUGGAGUCCUUAUUUUACUCUUGACUGAUGCAUUUACCAGUUUGUCUUUAUUUUUUAUUUCAAAUUAGGUAUAUAGAAAGUAGAAGAAUAGGAGUAUCUUAGAAACAAUAAAAGAAAUUCCUAUUUGUGUUACAGACUUUUGAAUUUAAGUUGCCGAUAACUGAUUAAACUUUUGAAAACGUGCAAUUUAUAUUGAUUUAUACUUGAGAUAUCUCAGGCAAGUGUAUUUAUCUGAAAUGCCAAUGGUUGUGAUUUGUGAAUCUUUGCUUAAUUUCAUAGGAGCAUUGUUUGGGCGUUAUUAUGACAAGGAUUCAAAGGUGUAAACCCAAUUAUCAGCUAUUUGUUUGAUUGUUUGUGUAACCUACGGUCAUCAUCCAAGGGAGCAUCAUUUAUUUUGUAAGACAUGCAUGCUUUCUAUGUUAAUUUAUAAGUUUGUUUAAUUUUUUUUAUGAUUACGUAAAUUUAUUAUUUAAUAUAUCAUAUAGUAUUAAAAAUACAUUUACCAAUUCGAUGAUGAUUCAUCUCAAGAAUUUAAUGAGAUUUCAAAACAUAGAGAUAUAUAUGGAAAAUUAAAGUAAUUCCCACUGCUAGAGAGAUAUAUAUAUUUGCUAAUAAUAUAUACCGAAAAUUAAAGUAAGACUAAGAUAUUCUGUUUAUUUCUUUCUUUGUAGUUAGAUAGAUAUAAAAUAAUAAAUUAAAAAUGUAUGAAUUGUAUUGUUUUAUAGUGUGAUAAAAGGAGUUUCAAUAACUUGUAUUAAAUAUUAACCAAUAACCAGUAGUAGUACUUGUAAUUAAAACAAUAGUAAUAAUACAAGAAAAUCAAAUAAUUGGAUUAGGAUGUACUACAAAUGAGAAAAUAAUUUAUGCACUUUUAACUUGGCUUAUUUAUUUUAUACUCAUAAAUUGCUUGUUCGAUCAGGAUGUAACAAAUUACUAUUGUUGGCAUUUAAUUCAAGGAAAAUAACAUGAGAAAAUAUUUAAUAUUUUUUAUAAUUUUUCAUUAAUUUUAGGGUAUGAGAUGAUACCCAGUAAUGCAUACUAAAAAAAGUAAUCACUCAAAUUCAACGUUUGCAUUAUAGAUGUUCUUCUUUUUAAUAUUUUAAAUAAUACUUAUUUUUUCAAUUAUAAAGAUUAAUUUUUUUAAUAUUUUAAAAAUUAAAUAAAAAUUUCUAUAUUUUAAAAAUGAAUUCAAUAAAUUUAGAUAUUUUUUUAAAUUAAAAGAUCAUUUCAAAACAAUUAUUUAAAUAUAUAUAUAUAUAUAUAUAUAUAUAUAAUUAUUUUUAAAAUCAUAGUAAAUUCCCUAAAGAUUUUAUUCAACAAGAAAAUUCACAGAAAAUUACCUACGAAUUUUAUUCUGUAAGAAAAUCCACAAGUAACUUUAUGUUGAUAUUAAAAUAACCACCAAGCUUAAUUGACUACCUAGUACCCCUCCUCCAUAACGACAUUCCCCACCAAGAUAUCCUACUACACUACACUAACAGUGAUGAUAGCUUGUCACCGCCAGUGUAAAAAUAGAGUGGCCAGCUACUGUAUGCAAAAUUGCUGCAUGAGAACCACAUAACACUGUCAGAACUCAGAGAAGCCUGAGUAUUGGACGAAAGAGACUUGAAAGGAGGGAUCAGGCCGUAAAAACACAAUUCCUAUCAGGCACGGCAUUAUUGAAGACAACUUUAUUUCUCUUUUUCCAAAGGAAGAAGUUGACAGCACUCCAUAAAAUUUGCCCGCCCACAGAAGAAGUUUUAGAGAAUCCCAUACCUUCAUUUUGCCAAAAAAGAGCCUCAAUGGAUAAGACAUGUUAGAUUUUUUAAUGGAUCUGUAACACUACAACAUGUAGAACCUAAUUAUAAGACCGGAGCCAUACCUUGUUGAAAAGUGCAUGAGCAUUGCCAAGUUUUGGAAGAGCACCACAUUCCCUUUUUGAUUACAUAAGGUCAGAGUUCCAUUCAGGCAAAACUAAUUACAAGAAAUACAUUCAAAUUCAGCUAACUAUAAUGGGUUUAAUAUAUAUACCACUGACCAUAUAUCACUUGGCAUGGCCACGAUAAGCUUUUCUGUUACACUUACUGAGGAUUGAGGACCUGAUGUCCCAAAGGAAUCUGAUACAUGUGGAAUAGAAUCUUGCUUAGUCACAUCCAUUGUCACAAGCCCUACAAUUUCUAUUUCAUCCAAUUGACCAAUGUCGUGGAUGAGUGUGUACAUCAAUGUUAAUGUCUAUUGACAUACUACCCGCACUCCUUGGCCUCUCACGUGCCUGUAUUCUCGUUGGUUCUACUGGUCCUUUGUAAGUGCUCCUACUUCUUGGUGGUUGUCCCCUAUUUUGUACCCAAACCAAAAUGCAUGAUUAACAAAUUAAGUUGCACCACUUUUAGUUUUCAACAGAUAUAUAAUUUGAUUAAGUUGCUAGCUGAGUAACUUUCAUUCAUAAUUUGGCACCUUACUGAUCCACCUUCUGGUUCACUAGGUGGACAUGCCUGCACAGGAAGUUGUUGAGUGUGCAGGCAUCCAUUGCUACUCUUGAAAUCGUUUUUAUAUAUGUCUAUAUGUUUCUGUGUUGAAUGUGCAGGUUGUACAAACCGUAUAUUAUGUUAGGCUUCCCUAACAUAUAUAGCAGCCACCAAUGUUGACUGUUGUUACUAAUGUUGUUCUUUUGCAGUACAUGAAUUGGAUCCCAAAUUUGGUAAUAGUUUAACCUAAGACAGCAGCUGCAAAACUGGUGAUUGGCUUGUGCGUGACACCAAAACUGGUGAAAUGUUGACAAGAGCCUCCAGGUAGAUAUCAGUUUCAAGAAUCAUUUUUUUCUGUUGCCUAUAGACAUGUUUUGAAGAGUAUUUCUGAAUCUCAAUGUUUCACUCUGUUGAUUUGGCACUGCUUUUAAUCUCACGAGGCUAUGUGAAGUUAUCUAUUAUCAUUUUUACUUUAUCUUAAUACACCACUAUUGAAACACAAUUAAUUACAGAUUUAACCAUACAAAAUUUUGUUGAUGACAAUGUUUUAAUCUACCAACAGAAUUUUCGUACAUGCUUACAAAAGAAGGCAACAAGUGGGAUUAGGAAGAUGCAUGAUAUGACCAACACAGAGCAAUGAUGGAAAUUGAUAUCCCUACGUAUAACUACAUCAGACUAGCACAUACACAUACACAUACCAAAUACAUUAUAAGCAAAAACUUAUAGCAUUAAUAAAAAAAAAGCUCAAAUGAUGGUAUAAACUUGGAAGUACCUCUGAUUCCCUUUGCAGUCUGACUUUGGCAACUAAGAAACUAUGAAUACCAACCCAACAGUCAGCCUUCAAAACCUAAAAUUUUUUAGUCAAAAAUGGCAUAUUAGAAUAAAAAAUGCAUUUAUACGAGACAAAAGGGAAAAAAAUUCAACAAAAAACAGGAAAGGAACAGAAUUUGCACACAAAGAAAGGUGCAUGCUGAACAAACAACAAAAGUAUAAUGAUUCAUGUUCAUAUGUUUAACUAAAACUCAUAAAUAGAACUUCUGACAUUUGGACUUAAAUACAGUUUGUAAAAUUUGGGCUGCUCUCUAAUCAGCUGGAAAAAAAAUUUCGUGGGAUUCAGUUACGCCUUAAGUCUAAAUGAUUAUGACCAUGUUUAACUGCAUCUAAUUCUUAUAUAUAGUUGCUUUCAUUAAUUUAAAUUAAUUUGUUUUGGUUUUGUUUAUGUUUCAUAUCAUACCAUUCUGGAGGCAACAUAGGAACAGUACAUGUCAUGCCUAUAUAGACAUGAAACUUGGUACAAGGCUUCAUGGUGUCUUUCAAAAUUGUUAACUAUUAUUUGUUUGUGAUGUCAUUAGUCAAGUUCUGAUCAUAAUCUGGAGUUACUUUGUCACAGCUGAUAAAUGUUUAUAUGGCAAACUACUAGACCGGAGGACAAUUUUGGCCUACAGUGCACAACUACACAAUUUUUUUAUUUGUUUUCAUAAGUGGAGAUCCAUACAUCCUUCACACAAUAGUUUUCAGCCAAGGCAAGCGGGACAGGGAACAACAAUUCUAUGUACGGUUUGACCCAAGUGCAGGUUUCCAUAGUUAGUCUAUCAUGUGGAACCCACAGAGGAUUAUGUAAGUCCUUAUUAUCUACAAAAAUAGUCCAGUAUGUUUCCUUUUUUCUCUAUUCUAUCCUAUGAUCCUUAACAUAGUUUCUCAUACUCUCUUUAAUUUAGAUUCUGAGUUUUUUCUAUAUAAUAUGCUCAGUUAACUACAGUUGCUUCUCUAUAGAGGCAUAUGCUCAGUUUUUGUCAAUAAGAACUGCCCAUUAUGUCGUGAUUGGGGAGAUCUUGUUUCAUUCUCUUAGUUUUGGUACUGUUGGGGGCUUCAAGUACAGCUGAGUGCACAAGAGACAUAAGGGACUUCCAAAGCUUGUUUGGAAGCCAAUUACCAAAAGGGUCAGUGCCACCAUCUGGACCCUCUUCAUGUCAGAACAACCUUAGCCCUUACAAAUACAGCAAACCUUCAUUUCCAAAUUAUUACUAUAAUUUUUGUCCUUAAUAGCACUUGUCAAGGAUAGAAGCAUGCAUAAGAAAUAUAUGAUAUAUCUAGCUAAUUGUAACAUGAGUAGAUUGCAUAAUUCAACUUAAUCAUAUAUUUAAUUGAUUUCAGUUGUAAACAUUUUUUUAAGUGAUUAAUAAUGCACAACCUUAAGCAGUUAAGUUACAAAAACUAAAUAACCUGGCUUGCAUUUGGAAUAUACCUUGUCAAUCCACUGUCAGAAAGAUGAGGAUUCAAAUCUGUAUGAACCAAUAUGUAGGCUGACUUUAUAUUCUUAUGAAGAAAAGAUGAUGAACAAAGUUCAUGUAGGUACCUAGGAGAAAAACAAGUAGAGUUAGCUUCUUCAUUCUCAGGGCAAAAAUUUACAUUGAUGCUUGAAGUCCAAAAAUUUCACAUAACAACUUCAGCUUUAACAAUAACUAAUUGUAGUCAAGAUAUUAGAGUCUAUAUAAGCAAGUGGACAAUAGUUUCAUACUAGCUGCCACUAUUCUUAUAAUUAAAAGUUCAAUUGUAUCCCAAAGCUGAGUGGUGUGUGACAAUUGUCACACUUUAAGCCCUAAAAGCCUCCUAUGCAACAGGACAUGUUAAUAUUAAACCAUGCAAAGUGGCACUCUCACAAUGCAGCUCCAACCAUGUUCUUCAGUUCCUUCGCUACUUGGACCAGUUUGGGAAGACCAAACUGCACUCACAAGGGUGUUUGUUCUUUGGGCAAGCUGAGCCACUAAAGUGCACUCACAGUGCAGCUCCAACCAUGUUUAUGUCUUUUGUGCCUAUAUUAUAUAAUAUAAUAUAUAUUUUGCCUAUAUAUAGUUUUCUUUUCCGCAUAAUAUCUUGCUUCUAAUUUAGUGUUAUUGGUAAUCCCUUUUUGUGGCUUCCACAAAUAAAUCAACAAAUACCAGUCCAAUGGAUCAGAAUUCACUUAUAUAUAUGCAAAGAAUGUGAAUUUAUAUAUCAUUAUUAAUGUAAACAUUUUAUUGGUGAAUAUUAUCAACCUUAUUUGAAUCUUCAUGUCUGUUCUGAUAUUGUAAAUCUUUAUAUAUAAAAUGACUUCAACUUUUAUACAGACAAAAACAAAAAGAAUGAACAAAAAACAACAACAAUGCCUCUACCAAAAUCCUUGGUCCAAAAUAGGAAUGCCUCUACCAACUAUGUUGCUGAAUACAAUAAUUAUGUAUAUUAUUACAAUUUCCUUAAUGCAUAUGCUUCAGGUCGUUACAAAAUGAUUAGGCUACCUCUAUCUAUAAACACCCAAGGGAUUCAUGGAAUUGGUACCUCAUCACUACUUUGAACCAUUUGUAUAUAAUAUUACUAACAAAUUUAUGAAUGGCUUUUCUUCGAUCCACCUUCGUGACCUCAAUGGAUCUUUCAUAAAUGCUAGCCAUAGUCUGUGCAACUUACUAUUAUGGAUAUGGUCCAACACCAAAGCUUCAGACCCCCAAACCCAAAACAGAUUACAAAUUUGACAAACCACACCCCAGAAUACCCAGAUUACUAUGUAGUGCCCAAACCAAAAGGAAACGAUGAACUACAUCUGCUUCCCACAAUCAUUGGUGUCCAAGGAAUUGAAAAUAGAAGCUACCCUAACACAGAUAUCCUUUUUUUGUUAAACCUUCAAACUUCUAGCCUAAAAAACCCAGAGCCUAAAAAUACGUACAAAAUUCUGCCAAAAAUGUUAUACAAUGCUCCAUGCUCACACAAAAUAAUGAGCACAUUACUAGAUGCAACAUUAUUCACCAAAGACCACAAACAAGAUUCAACUACAGAGUAUUUCUUUCAAUACAUUGGCAGCAGACACCAUAGCAGUCACAAACGUUGGAGUACAAAGAAAUGUACCUCUAUGGCGAUACCCACGCACCGAGUAGCGACGAAUGAGGCAGGAGACUUCUCUAGGUCACAAAACAACCUUCCCAACACGAGCGAGGGUAGUAAGAAGGAAUGCUUAACGCAGUACUCGGGAGGGGAGUAAGAAGAGACGAUGGUAAAUGGGAGAUAGGUACGACCUAGGGUGCGCGCGUUAAGAAAACAACGACGGUCUGGUGCAGAAGACCGUCUUCAUUUUUCCCAAAAAUAAUUAUGAGAUUGCCACUAAGAACCGAUUUACGAUCGGUCCAUAUAACCGUCCUUAGAAUGACAGAGUCAUACAAAACUUAUCCAUGCAAAUAAUUACAAAAAAUAUCACUGUGUAUAUGUUCCUCAAGAAUCAUCUUAAAAUUAGCAUCAUAAAUCAGCUUUUUUUACUAGUGGAUCUCAAAAAUUUUAACGACUGAAUUAGAAUAUUUCAAUCACUAAACACUACUUCUUUUUAGUGGAUUCUACAGAUUUUGCAUUUAGUACUUAAUAAUUUUUUAUUUAUUUUUAAUAUCUGAAAAAUUUACAAAUUUUGCAUUUAUCCUUGAAAUGUAUUUUUUGGUAUUUCACCUCUAUCAUUACAUUGGCUCUAUUAAGUUGUUCCUAAUAUAUUUUUUCUUUUAGUCUAUUUUUUUUCCUGAAAUUAUCGGUAUGUCUUUUUCAUUAGAAGUUAACGUCUCAAGUUAACAAAGUCAAUAUAAUGAUAGGGAUUAAAUAUAAAAUAAAUAAAUACAAAUUUAAAAUAACAAUUAUGAUUGAUGUAUAAAAAAAUUUACAAAUAUAUAUGAGAAAAUUUGUUUUAAAUAUAAUAUUUUGAUUUUUUUUUCUACACUAUUUUUCCUUAUAUUUUUUUUACAUUAUAUUUUUUUAUAACUACAGUUAUCAUAUCUUUUUUUUUUUCUUUUAACUUUUCUCCUGUCUUUCUUUUAUUCUUUAUCAUCUUUUUACCCAAAUAGCAUCUAUUAAGAUGUGUGAAAAAAGGAUUUAAAUUAAUAUCUUUUUAUUCAUUUAAAUUCGGAUAAUUUUUUUAUAUUCCAAACUAAAAAGUAUUUUUAGUCUCAUACUUUGGAAAUAAUUAUUUUUUAGUCCCUAAUUUGUGAUCAUUGUAGUCCCUGAUAAGGAUUAAAUGAAUUAUUUUCAAAUUAUGAGACUAGAAAAUCACUUUUAAAUUUGAAAGACAAAAUAAAUUUGGCAAUUUAAAGAAAGAAAAAGAUAUUUAAGUUCAAAAAAAAAACUUUAGUUCUAGAUCAAUUCUUGUAAAGAGAAAGCAUUGGUAAUUAAAUUAAAUGUUGUCAUUAUCUAGUUAGGCCUUACAGAGUUGAUAUAUAGUCUCAUGAAUAUUGAUAUUGAUUUGCCAAACUAUGACAGCAUUAAUUAAUUUGGCAUGCAUCAUAAAGAGUAAGUAUUAAUUAAUUUAAAGCUCCAAAAAUAUUUAAAGCAUCGAAUUAACUUUAAGUUAGACAUUAAAUUAGUAGUUAAUAAUAUAAAAUUAAAUAUUAAUGUAAGGACUAAAAAAAUUAUAUCCUAAGUAAGAAGCCAGAGAGCUAAUUUAGAAAAUGAUGGGUAUGAUAAUAUCUUGUCUAUAUAUUUUAUAUCUAUUACAUAAUAUAUAUAUAUAUAUAUAUAUAUAUAUAUAUAUAUAUAUAUAUAUAUAUAUAUAUAUAUAUAUAUAUUAUUUAUGUUCGAUAUAAUUUUUUAUAUAUCUUCACACAAAAUUUUGACAUAUAAAAUUAAAUUAAACAUAUAAUAUUGAUUAAAAUAUUAAAAAAUAAAUUAAUAUUAUUCAAAUAUUUUUUUAAAUGUGUAAUAAGAAUAAUAUUAAAAAUAAUUAAAUUUAUAAAUAUUACAUUUUAUAAAAAAAAGAAACUAAUAUCAAUUAUUUAAGCUUGUUGUCUCAACUUUCAAGUCUCCUCAAGAAAUAGGUGGAACAACUAGUUAGCUCUAAUGAAAAACGUUCUCAAUCUCUCAUGUUUUUAUGAAAAGGCAAUGCUUGUUUAGAUAGCCAGUUUUGCUUCCCAUGGUUUUGCUAUUGACAUUUUGUUUGGUGGAAUUUCAUUCCUACCUUUAUUUCAAUAGAAAUAGAAUAGGUAUUCCUAACUACAAGUUUUCAUAGUUAUUUCAAUAUAAUACCUAACUGUGUGUGUGAUUAUAAAAAAAUGUUAAAAUUAUUACACAAAUAUGUGUGUAAUUAUAAUAAAAUGUUAAUUAAUAUUGUUAGACAAAUGUGUAUCAUAGAUGACUUUUUUUAUGUGGGAGCAACAGAAAUAGACAUUUACUAUUAGAUCUUAUCAUCAACGAUCAAGAUUAAAAAAAUAAAACCAUCAAAAUCAUUGAACACAUUGAUCAACUAACACUCACAUUUAUUCUAACUUAACUAAUUAUCUUCGGUUCAAAUGAUAUAUUUAUACUAAAUAUAUGAGAAAAGUUUUGUUACUCAUAAUAAUCUUACUUCUUUUGAAUAUGAUUAUUUCUCCAAUAUAUACAUGUGAUAGUAUAAAAAAAAUAAAAAUAAUUAUUUUUAAAAAAAUUGUCUAGGUAACCCAAACUAAAAUUGGGAUUAAACAAUCUUAUCCUAGAUGACCCAAUAAAAUUAAAACAACUGUAUUAAAAGUUGGAUUCACAUGUUUAUAUUUUUUAUACACAAAAUUUUGACUGGUUAUAUAUUCUUCUCAUUAUCUUCUACCAGUUUUAAAUUAUGUCCACUUUUUAGAUUUUAGAUUUUUUUUUCUGCAAUUGUUUCUAUACCUUCUCUUACAAGAAAAUGAUGAGAUUUAAUUUUCUUCAUCCAAUAUUGCAUCCAUUAGAGAAACUCCUUUCCAAACACAUUUAUUUAUUUAAAAGGCAAAAGCAACAUUAUUAAUAAACCAAUACCACAAGAGGUGCUUGACUUAGAAAAAAAACACUAUUAUACACAGUAUAGAAAAAGAUGUUCAGCAAACAUGGUGCCUUGACAACAAUAAAAGCACAGCCUGGUUUAUGUUAUUACUAUGCACACCACAUUUGUAAUCUGAUCAAUCGGGAUACCACGUCUAUAAUCCUAAUUGGGAUUCCACAUCGUAGGGUUGUUUCAAAAAAAACUUGAAAGCAAAGAGGAAAAAAGGAUCGAAGAGGAUGAAUGUUUUUUUAUCAACCAAAUUAAAAUUUUAUUCACAAAGGUACCAGUGGUUUAGGGUUUAAAAUUAGUGGUACCAGUAAAACAAAAAAAAAAAAAAGGAACAAACCAAAGCGUGCCUCCAAGUCACCGAAAGAGAAAGAAAAACAAUAUUUGCUAUCUCAAUCAUAAUUCAGCACACAAAACCUAAAACAUAAAUAACCUCCAAUCAAAAUCGAGAACCCCUUCCCAGUAAAAGCCCUUAAUCAGAAUCUUAGUUUAAUUGUUUAUGUAUCCCUUCACAAUGAAUCUUGUCGCCAACACUCCGCGAAAAAAACGACGAACGUGGUGGUGAAAGGGUGAAAUUCGGUGGUGACAAAGAUGUACGCGUGUUUGGGAAUGCAAGAGCGCAAUUUCAGAUUAAAUGUAAUUUGUAAAAAAUAAUAAGAAGAAUAUAAAAUUAGUCAAAGAUUUGUAUCAAAAGAAUUUAAAAAAUGAACCCAAUCCAUAACACACUUGUUCUAAUUUUAUUGGAUCAUUUUGGAUUGGGUUAUGUAACCCCAUUUCUACUUAGGUAUGUUAGAUCACCCCUAAAAAAUCACAUAAUUUUUUAAAGUGAUCAUAUUACUUUCUAAGUGGUAUCUUUUUAUACAUAAAAAAGUGGUAUCUUUUUAAGUGAUUAAAAAAAUGUGACUAUCCAUCUAUGAAUAUAUAGAACAAAUUUAUAUCAUCACUUGAAGUAGUAUUGUCUAAGAGUUUAUUAUACUCUUGUUCUAUUUUACGCAACUCUUAUAUUAUAUCUGAUUUUGUUUUACCAUAUCUUUGCCACCAAACGAACCUUAAAAGACUAAAUUGAAAUUGAAAACAUUUUAAAAGCUAACAUAAUUUCUCACUGUAUGUUUGAAUGACCAAUAGUAGCCUUCCUAAUAUAUUAUUGAAAACAAUCCAAACAAAUCGCAUGCCUUCUUAUCUUGUCCUUUUUUAUUGUUUUUCUAAAAAUAACUAAUGUAGAAUUUCUUUAAUAAAAAAUAUAAAAUUUCUUAAAUAAAAUGGUAACGUUUCUUAAAUUAAUACAAACGAGCAAACGUGAAAGAGACGGUAGUCUCAGCUUUUCUAAGGUUUUGAUAUAGUUAUAUUUUUUUGGACCAAUGGUUGAAUAAGAUAGUUACACACCAACAAGAGAGAGGAAGAGUGAGAGAGCUUCAUCCAACUACGUACGGGCAUUGGAACUCUUUUUCUUGCUAUCUUAAUUACAAUGUUAAUCUCCCUCCUAAUUGCGUUAAUUUGAAGGACUUGCAUAUAUAGUUGCAUUAAUUUAUACCUAACUCAAGAUCAUAUCUUACCCUAUAAAUAGCUAGCCAAUGCAUCGUUCCCUUAUGCCAAAUCCUUUUCAUUCAAGAUGAAGAUGAUUCGCAUUCUUUUCAUCUUUGCUCUUCUAUCCUUCACUUCCCAUGCUUCUAAUGUCAAUGACUUCUGUGUGGCAGACCUGAAGGGUCCAGAUAGCCCUACUGGCUAUCACUGCAAGCCACCUAAAACAGUAACAUCACAUGACUUUGUGUUCCAUUUAGGCCCUGGAAACACUUCAAACGUGUUCAAGUCCGCAAUAACCUCUGCAUUUGUCAAAGAUUUUCCUGCUGUCAACGGUCUUAGCCUUUCUGUAGCACGCAUUGACAUAGCUCAAGGGUGGAGUGGUUCCAAUGCACACACAUCCUGGUGCCAAUGAAAUAGUGAUGAUGGUGGCAGGUGAAAUCAACGCUGGGCUUUAUAACAACCGAUGCAGUUUAUCAGAACACACUGAAACCAGGAGAUGUUAUNNNNNNNNNNNNNNNNNNNNNNNNNNNNNNNNNNNNNNNNNNNNNNNNNNNNNNNNNNNNNNNNNNNNNNNNNNNNNNNNNNNNNNNNNNNNNNNNNNNNAUUUUGUCAUUAACUCUCAUCUGUCAUAGUAGUCUACGUAGCAUAAGGGAUAAAUUUAUUAUUGAAAUGAGUACUAAUGUGAAUUGUCAACAUAUGAACAUAUUUGUCAUAAUUUUUUUUUUGACUUUUUGUCUUUCCACUCCUAACAUAUGCGUCCCUGAAGAUAAAAUACAAACUUUAAUUCUUGAAAGUAUAAAAAGUACAACAAAUAUAUUUGGACAUUAAUAAUAGAUUGUGACUAAUUAUUAUUAUUAUUCGUUUAUAAUUUAGUGCUCCUAUUCGUUUAGUAUUUAUGCAAUAUAUUUUUUAAAUUUUUUUUAUAUAUAUUUUUAUUAUUUUGAUUUCUUUAUCAAACCUUAAUCUUUGUUGUUAAUUUUUUUUAUCUUAUAUCUUAUAAUUUUAUCAAAUUUUUACUAAAUUUCUCAUUUUUAAUCUUUAAAAUUAUUUAAUAUCUCAAUUUUAACUUAAGUACCCUUAUAUUUAGAUUGAAAAUAAUAUGUUGAGAGUUUUGAGUAGAAAAAAUACAACCGGUCACGAGACUAAAUUUAUUUAUUUAUUUUUAAAAAAAGAAUUUAAUCAACUAUUCUUUUUUUUAAAAAAAAGUCUCACAAAAUUUAAUCAAUUGAGUUACCAUUUAAAAAAAUGAAAGUCUUUUAUUUCUUAAAAUUUUUUGUUUCUUCAAUUAAUUAUUAAUUUUUAUUACGUACUCUUCCACGGUAUGUUAAUCUCAUUAGUAAUAAACCUCUGUACUAGUUUUUUUUUUUGAAGUUAAUCUCAUUAGUUUGAGCAUUAUUGUAUUUUUUAUUUAAAUUUAUUUGGAUUCUUUAUUUGUUAGUAACUGUUUUCAUUUCACUUAUAUUAUGUAUAAUAAAAGUUGUCUCGAGUGAAAGCACAUAAGAUUUAUCCAAAUGAUUCUUUCAUAUUUGAGAUAUAUAUAUACAUUAUAUUGAUUAAGGAAAAAGACUUCUAAUUCCACUUUAGCUCUAUCUAGUUUAAAUUUUGUGAGACUUCUUUUAAAAAAAAAUUGAUUAAAUUCUUUUUUUAAAAUAAAUAAAUAAAUAAAUUUGGUCACGUGACUGAUUGUGUUUUUUCUACUUAAAACACUCAACAUAUUAUUUUCAAUCUAAAUAUAAGGGUACUUAAGUUGGAAUUGAGAUAUGGAAUAAUUUUAAAGAUUAAAAGUGAGAAAUUUAGUAAAAAUUUGAUAAAAUUAUAAGAUAUAAGAUAAAAAAAAUUUAACAGUAAAGAUUAAGGUUUGAUAAGGAAAUUAAAAUAAUAAAUAUAUAUAUAUAUAUAUAUAUAUAUUAAAAGGUAAUUUAAAAAAUAUAUUGCAUAAGUACUAAACGAAUAAGAAUAGUAAAUUACAAACACAUAAUAAUAAUAAUAAUAAUAAUAAUAAUAAUAAUAAUAAUUAGUUAUAAUCUAUUAUUAACGCUCGAUCGAUAUAUUUGUUUUACUUUUUAUAUUUUUGAUGACUAAAUUUUAUAUUUCCAUCCUUCAGGACACAUUUGUCAACAGAGUAGGAAGACGAAAAAUAAAAAAAAAAUAUUAUGACAAAUAUGUCACUAUGCUAACAAUCCACCUUAGCAAUCACUUUAGUGACAAAUAUGUCACUCCAUGUCAGGUUACUUUAUUGACUGUGACAGAUGAAAGUUAAUAAUGUGAUAUACUUAUCGUACUUUUAAAUUUUACAUUUAGGAACACAUUUGUCAAUAAAGUAUAUGUUAAGGGACAAAAGUUGCUAUUUACCUUGAAAUUUACUAUAAGAUAAGAUUCAAAUAUAUUUUUAAUUCUUAACAAAUUUUAAGAUUUUGUAUUUGAAUUUAAAUAUAUUUUUUAAUUUUUGUAUAGAGCUUGCUAUCUCUUUGACUCCUUCCUCAAACUUAUUCUUGUUUGUCCCCAAACAAGUUACCCAAACGCACAACCCCAACAUUAGUAAAAAAAAGUAUUUCCGUGUAUUUAAACAUGAUUAUUAAAAAAAAAUUGUUUUCAUUCAAACAACGGUGACAUUUUUAUUGAUAUUUGUAAAAAGUGCUUGGAGAUUUCUGGGGAUUGAUCUUCUUUGCAAAAAGUGCUUGGAUUUGAAAUUCUUGACGUGUCAUGUCUCAAGGUUUGUUUUGUUGCUUUGUCUCUCAUAAAAGAUUUGUAUAUCUUUGCUGAUUGCUGAUUAACUUUCUCUCUCACAAGGUUAGUGACAUCUUAGAUUCUGCACAACUGAUCUGCGAGCAGGUAAGUUUGUUGAAACUCACUGGUAUUGAAUAACUUUGAUGAUCUUUCCAGGUGAAGAUACUACUUUCAACUGACUGAUAUUCUAUACUACAAAUAUGAAUGAGCUCCUAGUCUCCUUCAGCUGCUGUAGUGCUAGACAGGCAACUGCAUUUUCAUUUACUAAUUUAUUUAUAUAUGUAUUUCAAGAUGAAAAUUAUUUUUUUUAUUGCAGAAUGAAUUGGCCUCCCGUAGAACAGAUGUAGGGAAUAUAUCUUCUUGCUUCUUGUUUCUUUAACUUAUAAUAAUUUCUAACAUCAUAAUCCAAUGAGAAAUAACAACCUUCUGAAACAGAGCUUUCCUUCAUUUUAAUUUGAUAUCAAAGAUAAAACACAAUUAAUUAAAUUGUUGUCCAACUUAAAAAAAGUUCUAUAAUAAUUCUUUUGAGACAUCAUGUUUCGAAGCUUCAAAUGAUAAACUCAAGCUUGUCGAUGCUAUUGUAAUAUAUCAUUUUCAACGAAUCAAUGUUAACAACAUACCAAACAAUUGCUCAUUCAUUCAUUUUUUUUUAAUACCUAUUAAUUUUUAAAACCCUUUUAUUCAUAAAAAUAGGGGAGCAUGUUUUCUCCUUAAAUCAAGAUGGCUAUGAAAUAUACUCAAGUUUCUGAUUCUGGAUGAAAUUAGUCAUAAUAUUGCAGUUGUACUUCUUAUAACAUGAUAAAAAUCUAUUAUAUAUGAACAUCGCGACAUAUAUCAAAUAUUAUUCACAAUAUUUGCAGUGGAAUUUAAAAAUUCUAUAAAAUUCUUUAUGAAAUUCCAUGUUUCAAAUCUUCAAGUUCAAAUGAUAAUAUAUCAUUUUUAACGAAUCAGUGUAAACAACCAAACAAUUGUGCAUGCUCGUCCAGGCAUAGUCAUUUUGGCAAUACCUAUAAACUUUUAAUACUUAUUUAUUAAUUUAAGAAAAAACCCAGGGGAGCGUUUUUUUUCUCUCCGUAAUUCAAUAUGGAUACUGUAGAAAUAGAUCGAGUCUGUUAAUUAUAUUUGCUUCUACAUGAGCAAUACUCUAAAGUUGUAGUAUUAUUGGAUAUGAAGUGUACACACAAAUUUCGAGUUAGCAUUUCAACAUGUGUAGGAGUUUCUACAUUUCCUUCGAUUGGCUUUUCUCUUGUUAAUUACUAUGUGAAUGGUUAAAUAUCCUAUUAUUGUAGGAUCAAUAUAUGUCUUCAUUUUGCUAACUAAUUAAUUAUGUUGACCAUUCUUUCAUGAUUUAUUGUUUGGACUUUGGACUAAAACCUAUACUAGCAAACUUAUUUGAAUAUGAUUUUACAAUAUCAAUGUUCCUCUCUUCUUUGCCACCUUAGCUGAAAAAUUAAAUUAUAUACUUAACGAAAAUAUGAAAGUGAAAAGAAAGACAAAUACAGGGAAUGAAUAACUUGGGAUCACUUCUUGAACAAAGGACAUUUAUUUACCAACUUUCAUCACUACCACAAGAUGAUAAACAAAGUUAGUGAGGAGGAAAGAAUCCCCCUCCACCAGCCUAAAAACAACAUUAUAUAUAUAUAUAUAUAUAUAUAUAUAUAUAUAAGGCACAAAGUUAUACUUUUCCUCAGGAUAGGUGAUGGUUCUGGGGUUUUGGUCUUGGAGGUUGGCUAAGAAAUUUAUUGUGUAUAUAUCAUCUAUCCCUACAAUUCCUCUUGACCUACUUUAUUUAUAAUAUUUGAUCUUUGUUAUUUAUUUGUUUCUCCUAUCUUUUAGGAAUUUGAGCAUGCAAAAAACCGAGGAUCCAAAAUCUAUGCAGAGGUUCGUGGCUAUGGGAUGUCAGGUAGUUUGUCUAAUUGCAGGAUAUGUAGGAUUUUCUUCUAGCCUUAGUUUUAUAUUUGGUUGACUUAUUUCAUGUGGAUUUUGACUAGGUGAUGCAUAUCAUUUAACUCAACCUCCUAGUGAGGGGAGAGGAGCCAUUUUGGCCAUGACUCGUGCUUUAAGACAGGUAUCCUUUAUCUUCUUGCAAUGAUUUGUAUUUUUCAUGCAUCAUUAGAGGUUUUCUGUUGGCUGAGCUUGCAAGCUUAAGCAUAAGCUUACUACUUCACUUUCCAAUAAAAAUUUAAGGUUAUCGUUGGUUUUAAUUUCAGUCCAUAAGGUAUAAAAUGCGGUAUAAUUAAAAGAAUAAAUGGGAGUUAAAAGGCUCAGAGGGACUAAAAAUGGGUUUUUACAAUAGUAGGCUAUAUGUUCCAAGGUAUAAAAACAAGAAAUUGCCUCUUUUAUUAGAAAACUAAAGAAUGGAGAAAAUUCAAGAGAACGACAUCAAAAUUUAAGCAAAGUAGUACCUCGUGGUUUAGCACUAAAUUUAAGAAACAAAUUUAGUUUAAGAUCGACACUCACAACUGGAUGAGGAUUCUCCAUGUGUUUAGAAAAAAAGUAACCUAUGUACAAGAUGCUUGAAAACAUAUCAAUUAAAUUAUUCAAUUUAUUUCUAUCGAUCCACAAAAGGUUCAAUGCCUCAAAAGUGUAAAUUGCAAAAAUAAAUCAAUUGAUCUCAUAUUUUUCUUUUUGGAUCAAUGGAAAAUAUUUACCUAAACAAUUUUAAAUGAAAGAUCUCAAAUUCAAUUAAUUAAGAAAUUAUUUACAACCUAAAAGACUAUUCAUAUUCAAACUUGUGUUCAAUUUCCUUCUUGUAAAAUUUUCUUGGAUAAAUAGCAAUUAGACAUCGCGAAUAAAAUUAGUUUCUAACAAAAAAAAAUACAACAAAAAUAUAAUUCUAUUACACACUUGUACAACAGAAAUAUGAUUCUAUUGCACUCGUGUUACUCUUGUAUUUUUUUUUCUCACCCCCAUUAAUUAUGGAAUGUGAAUACGUUUUUCUUGUAUUUUCAUCUAUGAAACAAUUGGCAAUACAGCUAAAAAGCACUCACAUAAAUAAUGCUAAUAGCAAAAGUGAAAGUGCCAAUAGCAACCCCUCUAGAUAACAUAUCAACAGGGGACAACUUACCUGGGCUAUCCAAUCUCAAAGACUAAAUCGAAGCUUCAUGAGAAGCACGUAAAGGCUCCAUUGGACUAGGAUGACACAAAUGUAAUCAUUGUAUCACGAAAUAAUUAGUUAAUUAUAAGAUGAUGCUCCCAUUUCGACCAUUACAGAAUCGAAGGAAUUGAAUCUUACGAAAUAAACAAACAACCUCUCCAAGUUUGGAUCCCAAUUAGUUAUAUCGAUAGUAGACACCUUUUUUCUUUUUUAAGGAAAACCUCUCCAACUUCAUUGUUUAAAUGACUUUAUUAAUAAAAGUCAUUGGUUUAAAACUCAAUCUAACACGUUUACAUUGUAGAUUGUGGCAGAUCAAAGUCUUCGUCAUAAUGCAUGCGUCUGCUUAAUGUCAACCCACUACUUAAGUUUGAUUUUUAACGUGUUAAUUCUUAAAUUAAUUAAUGAUUAUUUCAUUAAAAAAUGAGUAAACUCUAUUUUUCUCUUUUUAAUAUUCUUAUAUCAUGAUUUUUCAUACAAAAUAUGAUAUUAUUAAUAUUUGUUGCUGAAGCAAGAUAAUUGAUCUCUACCGUGAAUAUCUGGUCUUCUACAAGAAUAAGAAAGAUCUGCACGCAAAUUCAAAAAAAUGAUAUUUUAAUGUCUCUUUGGACAAAACUAGAAAAAUGAUUAAAUAAUUAUUUAUUAAAUUAUUUAUUUCCUACAUUUGCAGGAAAUGAUAGUUAAAUUAGAAUUUAAGUGUACACUCAAGUGCUGCCGCACGUGUUUCAUAUAUAUCAUUCUCCGACUUCAAAUAAAAUACAAUCAGACAUCGCGAAUAAAAUUAGUUUUUAACAGAAAAAAAUACAAUAAAAACACAAUUUUAUUACACACUUGUACAACAGAAAUAUGAUCCUAUUGCACUCGUUCCGUUGUAUUUUUUUUCUCACCCACAUUAAUUUUGGAAUGUGAAUACGUUUUUCUUGUAUUUUCAUCUAUGAAACAAUUGGCAAUACAACUAAAAAGCACUCACAUAAAUAAUGCUAAUAGCAAAAGUGGAAGUGCCAAUAGCAACCCCUCUAGAUAACAUAUCAACAAGGGACAACUUACCUGGGCUUAUCCAAUCUCAAAGACUAAAUCGAAGCUUCAUGAGAAGCACGUAAGGGCUCCAUUGGACUACGAUGACACAAAUGUAAUCAUUGUAUCACGAAAUAAUUAGUUAAUUAUAAGAGGCAAAUUUCCCCCGAAGGGGUCCUUUUACAAACAAAUUCCCAGAAUGGUGUUGUUUUGAAAGUAUUUCCGGGAUGAUGUCUUUUUUUACGUGGGAGGAAUGCAUGACGCCAUCAGGAAUGGCAAGUCCUCCACGGAUGGUCCACGUGGCAGCGGACUCGCCAGGACUAGUGGCGAUUUCAAGCCAACUGGUCUCGCCAGUCAAACUGGUGAGUUGGUCCCUGCAUGUCUCGCCAGACGCAGUGACGAUAAAGCCAUGGGGUGCGCAGGCUAGGGCCAAAACCGCCAAAAGCAUUGGUUCAGUGUAUUCUGAGUGUGUGACAUCGUUCAGCUUAAAUAGUUGGUUCUUCCUCCUAUGAUUUUUGUGUGCAUUUUAAAAGUUUUCUAAACUUCCAAAUUUGCCUUCUGCAACAGUUAUAAAUUCCUGAGCCUUCAAGCUUUCAGAGUUCAAAGUUCAAAAUCAAAAUAAGUGUGUGCCAUGAAAUUUAAAACAUGAGUUAAAAACACUUACAAGGAAGAGGAGCUACGCACGAGCAAGAAGCAACACAAGGAGGAGCAAAUCUUUUUCACUAACAGAAACCAAACACACACUCAGAAUACACACACUCACAAUCUUUUUUUGAACUGGUACGUGAAGGAGUCAAGGAGAGAUCCAUUUAUAGGAGAAAAUGAACAAUUUUUUUUCAAGCUUCUCGCCAGUCAAACUGGCGAGACCGGCAGAAGCGCUAGCCUGGAGGCAUGUCGCCACUACGUCUAGCGAGACAGGGUGCAACUCCCAGUCAAACUGGCGAGUCCAGCUAGCACGAAAUCGCCGCUGGUACUAGCGAUUUUCCCUCCAUGUGUUGCUGCAUGCUCAAAUCGUCAUUGCUGCUGGCGUUUUCUUUGAAAGUUCACAUAAAAAACAAACCCAUCCCGAAAAUUGUUUAGAAAGAGCCCCAUUUUGAGAAUUACUUUGUAAAAGGACCCCUUCGGGGGAAAUUUGCCAUUAUAAGAUGAUGCUCCCAUUUCGACCAUUACAGAAUCAAAGGAACUGAAUCUUACGAAAUAAACAAACAACCUCUUCAAGUUGGGAUCUCAAUUAGUUAUAUUGAUAGUAGACACCUUUUUUUUAAGGAAAACCUCUCCAACUUCAUUGUUUAAAUGACUUUAUUAAUAAAAGUCAUUGGUUUAAAACUCAAUCUAACACGUUUACAUUGUAGAUUGUGGUAGAUCAAAGUCUUCGUCAUGAUGCAUGCGUCUAGUUAAUGUCAACCCACUACUUAAGUUUGAUUUUUAACUUGUUAAUUCUUAAAUUAAUUAAUGAUCAUUUCAUUAAAAAAAUAUGAGUAAACUCCAUUUUUCUCUUUUUAAUAUUUUUAUAUCCUAAUUUUUCAUACAAGAUCUGAUAUUAUUAAUCCCCGUUACUCAAGCAACAUGAUUGAUCUCUACCGUGAAUAUCUGGUCUUCUACAAGAAUAAGAAAAAUCUACAGUAGAUUUAAAAAAAUGAUAUUUUAAUGUCUCUUUGGACAAAAUUAGAAAAAUGAUUAAAUAAUUAUGUAUUAAAUUAUUUAUUUCCUACAUUUGCAGUAGUUAAAUUAAAAUUUAAGUGUACACUCAAGUGCUGCCGCGCGUGUUUCGAAUAACUUGUGCGUGUAGACAUGUUACAGGGGAAUUCUUCAAAUUGAAUUGCAACCAAUUGCUAUGUUGACAAUGCAAAGUAGUAUAAGGAAAAUAUUAAAUAUACACUUAGUUUUUCUUUUAUCUCACUGUCAACCCACAUUUUUCUUUCAGUUUCUUUCUUCAUCUUCAAUCACAUUUGCAUAUCUAUCCGGUAUAAGGAAAAUAUUAAAACCCACAUUAAAUAAUUACAUAUAUCAAUUAAUCUUUAACUAAUUAAUUAUUACUAGUUUAAAUGUGCACCUGUAUUUUAAAAGUAUAAUAAAAAUAUGAUUUUAUUGUUUUCAUUCUAAUGUCCACUCUCACAUGAAUAUGAUACAGCCACUAGUUAAUUUUGCUUGGUGGUUCACGUUACACGUUAGUCUGAUUCUCAUAUAUAAAAUAAAACAAGAUGUAAUUAGAUAUAGUACGAUCCUAACUCAAGGAUUUAGGGGUACAUGCAGCAAGGCCAUAGGCCAUGUAUCUUCAGCGUGUAAGAAUAGCUUUAUAAAUAGAUAGCCAAUUCCACAUUACCUUCACACCAAAUCCAUUCAUCCAAGUUCCAAGAUGAAGAUGAUUCACUUUCUUUUCCUCUUUGCUCUUGUCUCGUUCACUUCCCAUGCUUCUGUCAAUGAUUUCUGUGUAGCAGACCUAAAAGGUCCAGAUAGCCCUUCAGGCUAUCAGUGCAAGCCACCUAACACAGUCACAGUGGAUGACUUUGUGUUCUCUGGCUUUGUAGCUGGAAACACCACAAACACUUUCAAUGCUGCAUUAACCUCCGCAUUUGUUACUGAUUUUCCAGGUGUGAAUGGUCUUGGUGUAUCUGCGGCACGGUUAGACAUAGCCAAAGGUGGAUCAAUCCCAAUGCACACACACCCUGCUGCCACUGAACUUCUAAUAAUGGUGGAAGGUCAAAUCACUGCUGGUUUUAUGACCCCAACUGCACUUUAUACCAAGACACUGAAACCUGGAGAUAUUAUGGUUUUUCCACAAGGACAGUUGCAUUUUCAGGUUAAUUCUGGAAACGGAAAAGCCACUGCUUUUCUGGCAUUCAGUAGUGCAAACCCUGGAGCACAACUACUUGACCUUCUGUUAUUUGGCAACACCUUGCCUUCUGACUUGGUUGCACAAACUACCUUCCUUGAUGUUGCACAAGUCAAGAAACUUAAGGCUCGUUUCGGUGGCAGAGGCUAGGAAUAUUAUUGCUCAUGAAUUUAUUCCUAUCUAAUGUUUGUUGCUAUUUAUAGUCCAUAAUAAUGCCUGUGUAUGCCCUUGCCUUUUCCAUU